CUGUGUGUGUGUGUGUGUGAGGUGCUAACCACUCUGUCCUCCUCUCCAGGUGGGUUCUCUGUGUGUGUGUGAGGUGCUAACCACUCUGUCCUCCUCUCCAGGUGGGUUCUCUGUGUGUGUGUGAGGUGCUAACCACUCUGUCCUCCUCCUCUCCAGGUGGGUUCUCU